GACAGAGGAUGCAAGCGUUAUCCGGAAUGAUUGGGCGUAAAGCGUCUGUAGGUGGCUUUUAAGUCCGCCGUCAAAUCCAGGGCUCAACCCUGGACAGGCGGUGGAAACUACCAAGCUGGAGUACGGUAGGGCAGAGGGAAUUUCCGGUGGAGCGGUGAAACGCGUGAGAGAUCGGAAAGAACACCAACGGCGAAAGGCACUCUGCUGGGCCGACACUGACACUGAGAGACGAAAGCUAGGGGAGCGAAUGGG
rnacentral:rRNA from 1 species